rnacentral:rRNA from 1 species
GAUGAACGCUGGCGGCGUGCCUAAUACAUGCAAGUCGAGCGAACAGAUGAGAAGCUUGCUUCUCUGAUGUUAGCGGCGGACGGGUGAGUAACGCGUGGGUAACCUACCUAUAAGACUGGGAUAACUCCGGGAAACCGGGGCUAAUACCGGAUAAUAUUUUGAACCGCAUGGUUCAAUAGUGAAAGGCGGUUUCGGCUGUCACUUAUAGAUGGACCCGCGCCGUAUUAGCUAGUUGGUAAGGUAAUGGCUUACCAAGGCGACGAUACGUAGCCGACCUGAGAGGGUGAUCGGCCACACUUGAACUGAGACACGGUCCAGACUCCUACGGGAGGCAGCAGUAGGGAAUCUUCCGCAAUGGGCGAAAGCCUGACGGAGCAACGCCGCGUGAGUGAUGAAGGUCUUCGGAUCGUAAAACUCUGUUGUUAGGGAAGAACAAAUUUGUUAGUAACUGAACAAGUCUUGACGGUACCUAACCAGAAAGCCACGGCUAACUACGUGCCAGCCGCCGCGGUAA